AUUGAACGCUGGCGGCAGGCCUAACACAUGCAAGUCGAGCGGAUGAAGGGAGCUUGCUCCUGGAUUCAGCGGCGGACGGGUGAGUAAUGCCUAGGAAUCUGCCUGGUAGUGGGGGACAACGUUUCGAAAGGAACGCUAAUACCGCAUACGUCCUACGGGAGAAAGCAGGGGACCUUCGGGCCUUGCGCUAUCAGAUGAGCCUAGGUCGGAUUAGCUAGUUGGUGAGGUAAUGGCUCACCAAGGCGACGAUCCGUAACUGGUCUGAGAGGAUGAUCAGUCACACUGGAACUGAGACACGGUCCAGACUCCUACGGGAGGCAGCAGUGGGGAAUAUUGGACAAUGGGCGAAAGCCUGAUCCAGCCAUGCCGCGUGUGUGAAGAAGGUCUUCGGAUUGUAAAGCGCUUUAAGUUGGGAGGAAGGGCAGUAAGUUAAUACCUUGCUGUUUUGACGUUACCGACAGAAUAAGCACCGGCUAACUCUGUGCCAGCCGCCGCUGUAACAC
rnacentral:rRNA from 1 species